UGGUGGAGUGAUUUGUCUGGUUAAUUCCGUUAACGAACGAGACCUCAGCCUGCUAAAUAGUCACGCUCAUGCUGCAUGGGCGGCUGACUUCUUAGAGGGACUAUCGGCGUUUAGCCGGUGGAAGUUUGAGGCAAUAACA
rnacentral:rRNA from 1 species